rnacentral:rRNA from 1 species
ACUCAAAUGAAUUGACGGGGGCCCGCACAAGCGGUGGAUUAUGUGGUUUAAUUCGAAGCAACGCGCAAAACCUUACCUAGGUUUGACAUCCCUUGACAUCUCUAGAAAUAGAGCUUUGUAGCAAUACACAAGGAGACAGGUGCUGCAUGGCUGUCGUCAGCUCGUGUUGUGAAAUGUUGGGUUAAGUCCCGCAACGAGCGCAACCCCUGAAUUUAGUUGCCAGCAUUAAGUUGGGCACUCUAGAUUGACCGCCGGCGUUAAGCCGGAGGAAGGUGGGGAUGACGUCAAGUCCUCAUGGCCCUUACACCUAGGGCUACACACGUAAUACAAUGGAAUAGGACAAAGAGUCGCGAACCAGCAAUGGGGAGCCAAUCUCAAAAACCUAUCCUCAGUUCGGAUUGGAGGCUGCAAUUCGCCUCCAUGAAGGCGGAAUCGCUAGUAAUCGUGGAUCAGCACGCCACGGUGAAUACGUUCCCGGGCCUUGUACACACCGCCCGU